GCCAAUGCAGCCACAGUAGCUCAGUGGCAGAGAACCUGCUCUGCAUGCAGAAGGUUCCAGGUUUAAUCCUUGGCAUCUUCAGGCU